GGGGGUACACGAGUGGCGAACGGGUGAGUAACACGUGGGUAAUCUGCCCUGCACUUCGGGAUAAGCCUGGGAAACCGGGUCUAAUACCGGAUAUGAGCUCCUGCCGCAUGGUGGGGGUUGGAAAGUUUUUCGGUGCAGGAUGAGUCCGCGGCCUAUCAGCUUGUUGGUGGGGUAAUGGCCUACCAAGGCGACGACGGGUAGCCGGCCUGAGAGGGUGAUCGGCCACACUGGGACUGAGACACGGCCCAGACUCCUACGGGAGGCAGCAGUGGGGAAUAUUGCACAAUGGGCGAAAGCCUGAUGCAGCGACGCCGCGUGGGGGAUGACGGUCUUCGGAUUGUAAACUCCUUUCAGUAGGGACGAAGCGAAAGUGACGGUACCUGCAGAAGAAGCACCGGCCAACUACGUGCCAGCAGCCGCGGUAAUACGUAGGGUGCAAGCGUUGUCCGGAAUUACUGGGCGUAAAGAGCUCGUAGGCGGUUUGUCACGUCGUCUGUGAAAUCCUCCAGCUCAACUGGGGGCGUGCAGGCGAUACGGGCAGACUUGAGUACUACAGGGGAGACUGGAAUUCCUGGUGUAGCGGUGAAAUGCGCAGAUAUCAGGAGGAACACCGGUGGCGAAGGCGGGUCUCUGGGUAGUAACUGACGCUGAGGAGCGAAAGCAUGGGGAGCAAACAGGAUUAGAUACCCUGGUAGUCCAUGCCGUAAACGGUGGGCGCUAGGUGUGGGGUCCUUCCACGGAUUCCGUGCCGUAGCUAACGCAUUAAGCGCCCCGCCUGGGGAGUACGG
rnacentral:rRNA from 1 species